UCCGUGUAACAAGUGUACCACUCUAGUGGUGGGAGGGGUUAUUGAUAAUAGGGGAGGAUGUGCAUGUGUCGGGGCAGGAAGUAUAUGGGAAAUCUCUCUACUUCUGCUCAAUUUUGCUGUAAACCUAAAACCUCUGUAAAAAAUAAAGUCUAUUUUUUAAAAAGUGGGGAUGGUAUUACGGCAAUAUAAAAUCAAAAUACUUUAUGAACAAAUGUUUUCUCCAGAUGUAAACUGUCAUAUAUGCACCCUCGUAUGUGUAUGUAUAAUUUUCAUUCAAAAGUGAAACAACUUUAGAAUUGGCACCAAACAUAUAAACACUGAUACAUUAGACUAUCUCGAACACCUUUUACUGACCGCUUUGAAAACUUGCUUACCUAUUAAGGUUCAUUCAUAGCUGUGAUGUUCUAUUUUUAUUUUCAAUGUGGGAUUAUCUUCUGUUUCCCCCAGGGAGUAUAUUACCAAAUUGGUGAUGUUGUUUCUGUGAUUGAUGAACAAGAUGGAAAGCCCUACUACGCUCAAAUCAGAGGUUUUAUCCAGGACCAGUAUUGCGAGAAGAGUGCAGCACUGACGUGGCUCAUUCCUACCCUCUCUAGCCCCAGAGACCAAUUUGAUCCCGCCUCCUAUAUCAUAGGGCCAGAGGAAGAUCUUCCAAGGAAGAUGGAAUACUUGGAAUUUGUUUGUCAUGCACCUUCUGAGUAUUUCAAGUCACGGUCAUCACCAUUUCCCACAGUUCCCACCAGACCAGAGAAGGGCUACAUAUGGACUCAUGUUGGGCCUACUCCUGCAAUAACAAUUAA
rnacentral:sRNA from 1 species